AAUAACAGUGGUUGUUCUUUUUUAGAUGGAUAAGGUGAUUCUAGUAGACCAAUGCUUCUUCAGAUGUUGUUGGAAUUUCACAGUGAAUACAGGCCCACAGUCAUCAGAUGCUCAUUAUAUGACGAGCCAUUCAAUCCUGGAAUCAUUUUCAUGAACCUCCUUUGAACCCUCUCCGGUGUCAGCACAUUAUUCUAAGGGUCUCGGCCGAAACGUCAACACCGGACUCUUCCCCACAGACGCCGCUGCUGGCAACUGGAGAGUGUCUCCUGUCUGCGUCCCUCUGAUUGGCCGCCACAUCUGAUAUGUCUGUGCGUGAUUGGAUGCACAGACCUGUUUAUUUUUGCGACUGCGCUCUCAUGUAGUUCCUUCCUAUUGGGCGCCUGCUCCCGGUCGCUGUGAUUGGCGGACGCAUCUUCAAUAUAGCUGAAGCUGACUGGUUAUUUCUUUCGCUA